GAAACAUUAGAUAAAUAGUUAAAUCAACUUUCGUUUUAUAUUUCAAAAAUAUUUUAAAGUAUACUUAAAAAUUGCAUAUUUUAUUAUAAAAAUAUUAAAAAAUAUUUUUACAAAAAAAAAUUACAAAAUAAAUAGAACAAUAUUAUUAUAAACAAUAAUAAGAAAAAGUUAAAUACUAUUUUUUGAAUAUAGUAUUAGAAUUCAAUUUUUUAUAUUUUC
rnacentral:tRNA from 1 species